rnacentral:miRNA from 1 species
CUGUAGUCCAUGUCCCCAGGCCC